CAGCCGUAAACGAUGCGCGUUAGGUGUAUCGACGACCACGAGUCGUCGAGGUGCCGAAGGGAAACCGUGAAACGUGCCGCCUGGGAAGUACGGUCGCAAGGCUGAAACUUAAAGGAAUUGGCGGGGGAGCACCACAACAGGUGGAGCCUGCGGUUUAAUUGGAUUCAACGCCGGACAUCUCACCGGAUAAGACAGCUGAAUGAUUGUCAAUCUGAAGGUUUUACAUGACUAGCUGAGAGGAGGUGCAUGGCGUCAGUGACU
rnacentral:rRNA from 1 species